UGGCUGUAGCUAAAUUCAAUCAGAUAUUCAGAUGUUUACUGGCCGAUUGUUGUGAGUUUCAAUCUCUGUCGACAGAUCUGCUUAACGAAAAUCUUACACCA